GGCAGAUUGCUCCGCCCACUUCCUCUUGAGAACCAGGAGAUGUUGACAGGGAUGGGACCGUUGCUAUGGUGCGGUUGCUAUGGUAACGUGAUUUAAUUGGGUUCAGGUGGGAGUAUUCGGGGCGAUUGCAUGGAGGACACAAACAGUUUAGGACGGUGCCGUGCGUGGUCAGGUCUCGCUGCUGUGACAAUGUUCCAUUCAAGCCAAGUACUGGACAUUGAAUCAUUUGCACGCAUCAAACUAGUCAACACAGUCGCCCUCAGUAUCAGCUUAAAGGUCAAGGCUGUACAACAAUACCAACAUGUACAGUAACGCCCACAAACACUUGCCUUUUGUCAGCAAAGUUCUUGUAAAAAAGAAAAGAAGAAUGUUGCCGAGCUAAUGUCCCGCCUAUCCUCCCCCGAGCCACUCACGACUUCAUCUGGGACACAAAGGACAAGACAAAAAGUGAAAGACAGCUUUAAGGACUUCAACACAAAAUGUGUGCAUCCUUUCUAACGGCCACUGGGGGGCAGUAGAGCCUCCAGCUGCUUGACCAUCGUGUCAAUUAAGCCACGAAGAAGAACAAACGGUAUGACGUCAUAUGCAACCCAGCCCGUGCAAGCUACAUUUAUCCAGCACAAAAGUCGCUUUCUUAAACUGAAACCCAAUUUUCUACAUUAAAAUAUUAAUGACAUUUUGGAAAAUGGUAAAAAUGAUAAACAGCCUGAAAUUAUUAUCUCUAUUGGAGAAAUAAAGUUGUUUUAAACAAGCCCAGUUUUUAUUUAAUGUAUUUACUUAUAUAUAUUUUUAUUUUAAUCUCAUUUGUAUUGUGUCUUAUUGUUCCAGGUCUGCUUGGUAUGAGCAUUGUAUUUAAUUUGAUGUAUUUUAUAUUCCCAUGUAAUUGUUGAACUUGCUAUAAAAUAUUGAAUGGUGUUGUGUUGAAAGUGCCUUGAUGUGUGUGUGCAUUGUAUAUGUAUGUUCAAUUAUUACAAAAACACAAACAAUUGAAAAUAAAACAAAAGUGAUAGGUCAUUGUUUUUUGUCCUUUUAAAAGAGUGUUUUAAACGCUUAGACCCUACAAUAUCACUUGUUUUUGUGUAUUUGUUUCUAAUUUAUUAUGUGUGUAUUAUAA